ensembl:lncRNA
UGUGAGCCGGUGACUUAAGGCAGUCCAGGGUGAGAUAAGACACAGAUGAAAACAUGCGUGCCCUGACUGACCUUUUAGAUGUUGUUGAUUGUCUGGGUCCAUAAAGGGAGGGUCACAGGGUCACCCCUACAUCAUCUGCUACUUUUCCUACAUUCCUCUUGAGGGGUGGGCUGUCCUGAGGCAGCACAAACCUCCCUGAAGUGUAUAUAAGCUCCUGUUCUCCUCUUCAACUUGGUCAGAUCUUCCUGCUCCUUUUGGGGGAAGGAACAUCUGUCCCUUUUCAGCUGAAUUGUAGUCAUUUGACUUCUGUCUGUGCUUACGACUUGUGCUGAUGAUUUCUGUAUUCUUUAUCUUUUUUCUAUAUUCUAGUUAGUAAUAAAUACUUAAUCACAAAGCAAGCUCAAGAUACUUUUGAUUUCUCACAUGGGCUAAAUCCACAAAUUUCCACCACAAACUUGGCGACGAGGAUGGGAUGGACGCGUGAUCUGGACUCUGACGGACGGACAGGAGGCCAUAUAGUAUAGGUGAUUCCUCCCUGAGGGUGAGAAGCUGCCGUCCCGACGAGACCCGGAUUGCCGAUCCAUCCAGUUCAAGAAAAAGAAACGACGAACACGCGGUGAGAGAUCAAAAUUAUUUUAAAGGCAGACAGUCAUUGACAAAAGGGUUUUAGGCCUAUCUCACAACGAGUGUGUUGUAGACAGACGUGUCUGGGUCACCUGUAGUAUUUUCUCAAGUUGCAUAUCCUGUGUCUCCUGAAAAUUCACAGGCCAACUUUGGAUAAAUGCAGUAGACUGAGUGGCCAGAGAAAGCAACGGUCACUGACUUGCCUUGGUUAUACGUGUGGUAUUUCUCCGUUUGUGCGCACCUUUAUAGGCGCGUACACUCCUUGCAUACAGAUACAGAUAACUGGAAUGGGUAGUGUUCAGAGUAAAGGGGAGAUGGGUGAAAACCAUGAGACUAAUAUCCUGCCACUAUUGUGUAAAUUUAUGUCAGAGCGUUAUCCUGGCAGUUUGAAUUAAAUACAAAAAUGGGUUGAAUUGGGGUUUCCUUCAAAAGGGAGUUUGAGUAAGAAUCAAUUGGAGCAGUUGGAAUUGCAACUGAGGGGGAAGGAGAAGAACGAUGCAGCUCAGCAUGCAGGCCUGUCGAGAAGAAAGCAGAAAAAGAAUGUGGUAUGUAAGGCAGAUUGGGAAGCUUUCAAGAUGUGGAAGUAUGAGUCGGAGAGAAGGGAGAGACAGAGGUUGGUAGCAUUUAAUUCAUUAAAAGACCAAAUAUCC